rnacentral:rRNA from 1 species
UACGAAGGGGGCUAGCGUUGCUCGGAAUCACUGGGCGUAAAGCGCACGUAGGCGGAUUGCUAAGUCAGGGGUGAAAUCCUGGAGCUCAACUCCAGAACUGCCUUUGAUACUGGUGAUCUUGAGUCCGGGAGAGGUGAGUGGAACUGCGAGUGUAGAGGUGAAAUGCGCAGAUAUCAGGAGGAACACCAGUGGCGAAGGCGGUGGUCUGGGCCGGAACUGACGCUGUAGAGCGAAAGCGUGGGGAGCGAACAGG